rnacentral:rRNA from 1 species
CGGACAGAUGGGAGCUUGCUCCCUGAUGUUAGCGGCGGACGGGUGAGUAACACGUGGGUAACCUGCCUGUAAGACUGGGAUAACUCCGGGAAACCGGGGCUAAUACCGGAUGCUUGUUUGACCCGUAUGGUUCGAAAGAUUUGGUGGCUUCGUCUACCACUCAGCGAAGCUCCCGGGGCGCAUUAGAUAGGUGGGGAGUUAACGGCUCACCAAGGUAACGAUGCGUAACCGACCUGAGAGGGUGAUCGGCCACACUGGGACUGAGACACGGCCCAGACUCCUACGGGAGGCAGCAGUAGUGAAUCUUCCGCAAUGGAAGAAAGGCUGACGAAACAACGCCGGGUGAGUGAUGAAGGUUUUCGGAUCGGAUCGUAAAGCUCUGUUGUUAGGGAAGAACAAGUACCGUUCGAAUAGGGCGGUACCUUGACGGG